UGGGGAAUUUUGGACAAUGGGGGAAACCCUGAUCCAGCCAUCCCGCGUGUGCGAUGAAGGCCUUCGGGUUGUAAAGCACUUUUGGCAGGAAAGAAACGUCGCGGGUUAAUACCCCGCGAAACUGACGGUACCUGCAGAAUAAGCACCGGCUAACUACGUGCCAGCAGCCGCGGUAAUACGUAGGGUGCAAGCGUUAAUCGGAAUUACUGGGCGUAAAGCGUGCGCAGGCGGUUCGGAAAGAAAGAUGUGAAAUCCCAGAGCUUAACUUUGGAACUGCAUUUUUAACUACCGGGCUAGAGUGUGUCAGAGGGAGGUGGAAUUCCGCGUGUAGCAGUGAAAUGCGUAGAUAUGCGGAGGAACACCGAUGGCGAAGGCAGCCUCCUGGGAUAACACUGACGCUCAUGCACGAAAGCGUGGGGAGCAAACAGGAUUAGAUACCCUGGUAGUCCACGCCCUAAACGAUGUCAACUAGCUGUUGGGGCCUUCGGGCCUUGGUAGCGCAGCUAACGCGUGAAGCUGACCGCCUGGGGAGUACGGUCGCAAGAUUAAAACUCAAAUGAAUUGACGGGGUCAUAGC
rnacentral:rRNA from 1 species